rnacentral:rRNA from 1 species
GACGAACGCUGGCGGCGUGCUUAACACAUGCAAGUCGUACGGUAAGGCCCUUUCGGGGGUACACGAGUGGCGAACGGGUGAGUAACACGUGAGUAACCUGCCCACAACUUUGGGAUAACGCUAGGAAACUGGUGCUAAUACUGGAUAUGUGCUCCUGCUGCAUGGUGGGGGUUGGAAAGCUCCGGCGGUUGUGGAUGGACUCGCGGCCUAUCAGCUUGUUGGUGGGGUAGUGGUCUACCAAGGCGGCGACGGGUAGCCGGCCUGAGAGGGUGACCGGCCACAUUGGGACUGAGAUACGGCCCAGACUCCUACGGGAGGCAGCAGUGGGGAAUAUUGCACAAUGGGCGCAAGCCUGAUGCAGCAACGCCGCGUGCGGGAUGACGGCCUUCGGGUUGUAAACCGCUUUCAGCAGGGACGAAGCUUUUUGUGACGGUACCUGCAGAAGAAGCACCGGCUAACUACGUG